GUAGUCCACGCCGUAAACUAUGGAUGCUAGCUGUAGGGCGCUCGACCCGUCCUGUAGCGAAGCUAACGCGUUAAGCAUCCCGCCUGGGAAGUACGGUCGCAAGAUUAAAACUCAAAGGAAUUGACGGGGACCCGCACAAGCGGUGGAGCGUGUUCUUUAAUUCGAUGAUAAUCGAAGAACCUUACCCAGACUUGACAUCCUGCGAAGGAUUCCGAAAGGAAUUUGUGCCUUCGGGAGCGCAGUGACAGGUGCUGCAUGGCCGUCGUCAGCUCGUGUCGUGAGAUGUUGGGUUAAGUCCCGCAACGAGCGCAACCCUUAUGGUUAGUUGUAUUUUUCUAGCCAGACUGCCCCGGUAACGGGGAGGAAGGAGGGGAUGAUGUCAGGUCUUUAUUGCCCUUACGUCUGGGGCUAGAAACGCGCUACAAUGGCCGGUACAAUGGGCAGCCAACCCGCGAGGGGGAGCAAAUCCCAUCAAAACCGGUCCCAAUUCGGAUUGCAGGCUGAAACUCGCCUGCAUGAAGCCGGAAUCGCUAGUAAUCGCAGAUCAGCAUGCCGCGGUGAAUACGUUCCCGGGUCUUGUACACACCGCCCGUCAAGCCACGAAAGUCACCAACACCCGAAGUCCUAUCUUGUAUAGGCCUAAGGUGGGGGGGAUGAUUGGGGUU
rnacentral:rRNA from 1 species